rnacentral:lncRNA from 10 species
CACACACAGGCAGUGGAAAUGUACUCCCAGCUGUCCCGUGCCCUCCCGGCCCCACCUCUUUCUCUGGCCUCGAGGCAUAUCAGGACAAGGAGGUAACACAAGAGUAGGAAACCCGAGGUAGUGCUGGGAGUACCUGGGGUAACGCCUUCAGGCAUAACACUUAACAACACAACAAAGGGCCACAUCCAUGUCCCCCCAGGAGAAAGCUGAAGAGGAGGGGAGGGUGACAAGCUUAGACUACAGAGCCUUAGUCCCUAGGCAAAGCUCAAGUCAGCAGUGCCUUGGGAACUGAGGAGCCAAACAAGCUUUGACAAAUUACAUAACCUGGAAGAAGAGGUCCCUUCUUGGUGACUGAUUUUCCCUCUCUAUUGAUGGAUCUAAGGGAAGACAUCAAUAAAAUAUGGCAAUUUUAAAAGAAGAAUAAACAAUGGGAUCAGCAUCUUGGAUUCUGCUAAGCAGCCUUCUCUAGGCUUCAGUUUCUUCAGUUCCAUAAGACAAGUGGUUUGGGGGGAACCUUCCCCAACAUGCCCACCUCUCAUUGUAGGGAUGCAAGUAAGAGAAAUAACAUCCAACUCUAGCAGCCAAGAAUAAGAGGACAGAGCAAGCAGAGAGAGAACAAGGGGGUGAAACUCGUGGAGGGUGGAGUUCUUCCACGUUACGGCCAUUCCCACCAUGAGCCCAUUGCCCUUACUCAAUGGUAGCACGCAGACGGCACCUGCUGGCCCAAGACCUAGCUCCAAGGGAGGACUGCGGGAAAUCUCACACAGGAAACCAGCUCCUGCGUCAUGAAGGGUCGUCAGAGGAAAACCCCCACAUAAUGGGUGGAAAACCGAGAAAAACUCCUAUACCAAGGAAUCCCCACUCAGCACUGGAUAUGAGCUCUGGAGAAAGUUGUCCCUGAGCCACAAAGUCCCCAAGGCCACAGCGGGCCUGAAGGGAAGAGCAUUAUUGUUGUCACAAAUGC